AUGCCAUGCUAAGGGCAUUUUCUCAAUAUCUCCUUAUACCUUUCCCAUGUGUCGUACAAGGAUUCAGAUUCUAUCUACCAGAAAGAGGAGAUAUCACUCCUCAACUU